rnacentral:rRNA from 1 species
UACGAAGGGGGCUAGCGUUGCUCGGAAUCACUGGGCGUAAAGGGUGCGUAGGCGGGUCUUUAAGUCAGGGGUGAAAUCCUGGAGCUCAACUCCAGAACUGCCUUUGAUACUGAAGAUCUUGAGUUCGGGAGAGGUGAGUGGAACUGCGAGUGUAGAGGUGAAAUUCGUAGAUAUUCGCAAGAACACCAGUGGCGAAGGCGGCUCACUGGCCCGAUACUGACGCUGAG